UAGGGAAUCUUCCACAAUGGACGCAAGUCUGAUGGAGCAACGCCGCGUGAGUGAAGAAGGCUUUCGGGUCGUAAAACUCUGUUAUUGAAGAAGAACGUGUGUGACAGUAACUGGUCAUGCAGUGACGGUAUUCAAUCAGAAAGUCACGGCUAACUACGUGCCAGCAGCCGCGGUAAUACGUAGGUGGCAAGCGUUGUCCGGAUUUAUUGGGCGUAAAGCGAGUGCAGGCGGUCUUUUAAGUCUGAUGUGAAAGCCUUCGGCUUAACCGAAGAAGGGCAUCGGAAACUGGGAGACUUGAGUGCAGAAGAGGAGAGUGGAACUCCAUGUGUAGCGGUGAAAUGCGUAGAUAUAUGGAAGAACACCAGUGGCGAAGGCGGCUCUCUGGUCUGUAACUGACGCUGAGGCUCGAAAGCGUGGGUAGCAAACAGGAUUAGAUACCCUGGUAGUCCACGCCGUAAACGAUGAAUAC
rnacentral:rRNA from 1 species